UACGGAGGGGGCUAGCGUUGUUCGGAAUUACUGGGCGUAAAGCGCACGUAGGCGGCUUUGUAAGUUAGAGGUGAAAUCCCGGGGCUCAACCCCGGAACUGCCCUUGAAACUGCAGUGCUAGAAUCUUGGAGAGGCGAGUGGAAUUCCGAGUGUAGAGGUGAAAUUCGUAGAUAUUCGGAAGAACACCAGUGGCGAAGGCGACUCGCUGGACAAGUAUUGACGCUGAGGUGCGAAAGCGUGGGGAGCAAACAGG
rnacentral:rRNA from 1 species